CAAAUGCUGUAUUGAAAUGUUAAAAACAUACAAAUCAAUUUUUUUUCACCUGUCUAACCUAUAUAGUUACAGGAAACGAUGGCUGUCCUCCAGAUAAAUUGCUACCCACACCUUUAUUCACAAGACAUUCACUUGACUUGGGCAUAUCGAAAUACACCCAGUGUGGUUUGCACAAGUUGAGCGAGGAGAAACAAUUGGGGGAAAACGGUACUAUCACCUUUAAACAUCUACUGACAAGUAACUGGAUCAACUCAGGGUCAGUGGCAGUGGUCGUAGAGUUUACUCAGUACCACAGAGUCACUGGCCUCUUUAUACCUGUGGCCAUUCGCCUGGAGCACACCGUCUCAAGUCACAUCGCCGUUUCCUACUCCAUUGAGCCAUUUCACAUGCCAUUAUUCAAGUCUGGACCAGACUUACAGAUUGCUUUGGUGAUAUUGCUGCUGCUGUUUGCCGUGUCUUUCCUGGGAGCUGAGCUCUGGGCCGUGAUCCAGGAACGUGGGCAGUCCGUCAGCCAAGAAUGGCGCUGGCUUCAGCUCCUGGUGGCUGUGCUGUCGCUGAUAACUGUAGCAUCGCGGUUACUUUGCCGCUACGUGGCCUCCGCCUGUCUGACCCGCCACCGCACCCAGCCGCACACUUUCACAGAC
ensembl:lncRNA